rnacentral:rRNA from 1 species
UACGUAGGGAGCAAGCGUUGUCCGGAAUUACUGGGUGUAAAGGGAGCGUAGGCGGGGAUGCAAGUUGGGUGUCAAAACUAUCGGCUCAACUGAUAGUCGCACUCAAAACUGCAGCUCUUGAGUGAAGUAGAGGCAGGCGGAAUUCCUAGUGUAGCGGUGAAAUGCGUAGAUAUUAGGAGGAACACCAGUGGCGAAGGCGGCCUGCUGGGCUUUUACUGACGCUGAGGCUCGAAAGUGUGGGGAGCAAA